CAACCCUCAAGCCCGGCUUGGUGUUGGGGCUCUGCGCGCCGCGCAGGCCCUCAAAUGCAGUGGCGGACACGCCAGGUCUCCGAGCGCAGUAGUUUCUUCUCGCUUCGGACGGCCGGCGUGGGCUUGCCUCGCACCCCAUUUCUCAA
rnacentral:misc_RNA from 1 species